rnacentral:rRNA from 1 species
GUGUCAGCCGCCGCGGUAAUACGGAGGGUGCGAGCGUUAAUCGGAAUUACUGGGCGUAAAGCGUGCGUAGGCGGUUCGUUAAGUCAGAUGUGAAAGCCCUGGGCUCAACCUGGGAACUGCAUUUGAAACUGGCGGACUAGAGUUUAGUAGAGGGGAGUGGAAUUUCAGGUGUAGCGGUGAAAUGCGUAGAUAUCUGAAGGAACACCAGUGGCGAAGGCGACUCCCUGGACUAGAACUGACGCUGAGGUACGAAAGCGUGGGUAGCAAACAGGAUUAGAUACCCUGGUAGUCCACGCCGUAAACGAUGUCAACUAGCCGUUGGUCCUAUUUACAGGAUUAGUGGCGCAGCUAACGCAUUAAGUUGACCGCCUGGGGAGUACGGCCGCAAGGUUAAAACUCAAAUGAAUUGGCGGGG